GAGACCUGGAUGGGAACAGAGAGCAGACGUUAAGUUUCUCUGCCCCACACGAGGCGCGGCGGGCAGGGCCAAACCUCGCGAUGGCCCGGCGACGCACGAAAAGCAGACGGAGAUUAUUAGCAGGCCCGCCCCCUACUGUGCGGUUCUAGUAGCGCAGGCUGACCACGGCCGCCGCCGCUGCGUGCGCCUGAAUGGGCCCGGCUGCCGAGGCCCCCCCACGGUGUUGUGUCCCCGCCUUCCCGGCGCCUCCCUGAGCCUGUGGGCUCAGGCUCACUCGAGGGCUGGGAAAGGCUUCGGGAAGACUCUGGCGGCAUCAGCAGCUUCCUGUUAGGGGCGCCCUCUAGAGCCUUCCCGCUCCUCCCGGCCGGUCCUCUCAUCAGCCAUAGCCUCCUUCAGUCCCGGCGGUGAGCGUGUUCUCCGCCAAGCCCGCGCCGCCGGAGCCCGGUUCCCCUUGGAACGGGAAUCAAGUGGAAAGGGCAAUGAAUUUGAAGGUAGAAGAGUCAAACCCUCAUUGUUCUACAGGUUUACAGAGUCACUACAGGACUGAUGAAGAAACUGAGGAACAGAGAGGUUAAAUGCCUUGUUCAAAAUCUCAAAGAUAAAUAUCCAUGUCAGAAUCCCAAGGCUUCCCGACUUCAGGUUCACCACUCUAUAUGCUAUACCAUGUAGCUGCCACAGAAAUUAGCUAAAAGCUAUUUUGAUGGUCCAGUGAGAUACUACAUGUUUGAUGCUUUCAUGUCUUAAAUUGAAAAGGAGGUUUUUCUAUCAAGACUCAGGAAGAAAGGGCAGUGAGAAUCUGCCCUCUUGGUGUGCCCCAAUCUAGAAGCUUCAUGCAGCUGCUGGUUUACAUCGGCAGAGGGAACUUCCUCACCUGAGUGUGUUGGAGUCAAUUUGUCCUGAUUUCCAUGGAGAUUCUACAUCAUCAGAUCAUAUAAUCUUGGAAUCUCAAGUUGGAAGGAACCUUCUGGAUCCUGAGUCCAACCCCCUCAUUUUAUACAUAAAGGAGCAGAUGCUCCCAAAAGGCCCCCUAAGGCACAACAUUUGAGCCAAUGCCCUCAGAUUCCAAAUCAGAUACUCUUUCCUUCUGUACCCCAACAAGAACCAGAGAUUUCAAAACUGGACUUAAACACCAUCUAGUCAAUCCUUUCAUUCAGUUCGGAAAUGGAGUUGCCCAAGAUCAUGUGUCAAAUUAUUUUAAAGAUGGGCUUAGAAUCCUAUAUUCCUAACAAUCCUGAAAGGAGUGAUGAAUAGUAAGAAAAUGCUGAUAUCUUAUACCUCUUUUUAUUUUUUCCAGUUAUGCUACAUUGUUUUACAUUGGCAGAGAGAAUAUAAUGACAAAAACAUUCGAUCCAAUUGAGAAGUGACUGAGUACAUUAUGAUAUACUCAUCUAUUGCAAUAUCAUGGCCUAUAGAAUCACUACUAUGAAGACUUCCAAGUAAUAUGGAAAGCCCUACUGAAGGAAUGGGAAAUGAGCUCAGCAAAAUUAGAAAAUUUAAAAAAAAACUAAGAGAAAACAAUGCUGAGGAUUGGAUCUUUGUAAAUAGAGAGAAGGAAAAAGAGCAAAUAUAUUUCAAUUUUGUGUUUGCAAAAAAAAAAAAAAAAAAAUACUAUUUGAACCAAAGAUCUGAUGCUUUAAAUUUCAUGAUUUUACUUAGUGGUUCAUUCUAUAUUUGGUUAGAUUAUUUAUCAAUAAUUUUUGAAAAAAAGCUAAAAUUUGAAAAUGUUGGGAAAUAGACUGGCUAAGAUGAAGAUGGAGGGUCAAGAGAGAGGUUAGAACUUGUCCAUUUCACUAGAAAAGAGAUUCUUAGGACUAGGCUUGUUGAAUAUAUUCUUCUAAUUGUUGAGGGAUUGGUAAAUUUUGUGUUCUGGAUAUUCUAGGAAGUAAGGAAGGAUCUGGAGGAUUUCAGAGGAGACUUGCAAAUAAAAAUGAUCCAAACACAAACCCCAAGUGAUUUUGUUUGGCUUAAUGAUGUUCCAUAAAGAUCCCGCCUCCAGACUAUACAUAGUAAUUAUUAGAGACCAAAUUAAGUUCCUAGUGUUUUCUUGUUUUUCUGGUGCCAUGACACACAAUACAAACCUACAGGGAAGGUAGUUCAGAAUAUGCAAGUUAUUACCUCAAUUGUAAUAAUUGGUACCUAUUAAAUGGGUGGAAGAUUAUCCUCUGGGGAAGUCCUAGACAAUUAGCAUUCCUACCCAUCCCUGGCCUGUGUGUGAUCUUCACUCCUCCCACUCCCCAUUGCCUCUUUUCCAAACUGGAACAAAAAGGCAGCAUGUCGUGGUCUAGAAUGGAAUCAUAGAUGUAAUAGAAAAACAAAAAUGAUAUUACAACAGUAGAUGUCUCUUCGUCCUCAAGGAUUUUAAAAUGAUACUGGUGGAAGAGUGGAAGGAGGAAAUAUAUUUUUACAAUCAUCUGAGCACAAUUACAAACAACAAAUGAAACUGCUGAACCAAGGAAUACAUUUAGACUAACCAGAAAAAUCAUAAAAUUCAGACUCUAAAAAGACAAUGGAGAAUUGCAAAGUGGAGUUUCACCAGCAUAUACCAAUAGUUCCUUUAAGAUUCAGCUAAUAAGUGGCAAAUCCAGGAUGAAACCUUGGUUUCUGAUGUUUACUUUGUCCAUUGUGCUUUUCAUUAUACCAUGCUAUCUCACUUUAGGACAUUCUUAAAAAGUCAUUUCAUUUCCCAGUACCUGCCUUUUUUCAUAUGUAAAGCAGGCAUCAAAGUACCUACCCUGCCUACUCCACAUAAUUGUCUCAAGACCCAACUGUGGUGACACAUGCUUAUGAUACCUCCCAUCAGGAAACUGAUACUGACGGACCACUUGAGCUCAGGAGAGCAGGGAGAAAAGGUUACAAAAUACAAGGGUUAUUGGACCCUAAGCCCAACACUGUCUCUAUCUCGAUACCAUUUUGGGUUAGGGUAUCAGUAUUGUAUUAGUUGUGUGAUCUUGGCCAAGUUAUUUAAUCUCCGAGGCUGUUUCCUCAUUUUUAAAUGAGGGAUUCAUAUGUUUUAAGUGAGAAUGAACUAGCUCAAAGAAAUAGAAUGAAUCAAAGCUUUGGUGCCAAAGAUUGGGCCAUUUAGUGGCAGUUGUACUUCUAGUCUUGGUGAGAUAGAGA